rnacentral:rRNA from 1 species
GAUGAACGCUAGCGGCAGGCUUAACACAUGCAAGUCGAGGGGCAUCGGGAGGGAGGCUUGCUUUCCUUGCCGGCGACCGGCGCACGGGUGAGUAACACGUAUGCAACCUGCCCUCUUCAGGGGGACAACCUUCCGAAAGGGAGGCUAAUCCCGCGUAUAUCGGUUUCGGGCAUCCGAGAUCGAGGAAAGAUUCAUCGGAAGAGGAUGGGCAUGCGGCGCAUUAGCUUGACGGCGGGGUAACGGCCCACCGUGGCGACGAUGCGUAGGGGUUCUGAGAGGAAGGUCCCCCACACUGGUACUGAGACACGGACCAGACUCCUACGGGAGGCAGCAGUGAGGAAUAUUGGUCAAUGGGAGAGAUCCUGAACCAGCCAAGCCGCGUGAGGGAAGACGGCCCUAUGGGUUGUAAACCUCUUUUGUCGGAGAACAAAACCCGGGACGUGUCCCGGACUGCGUGUAUCCGAAGAAAAAGCAUCGGCUAACUCCGUGCCAGCAGCCGCGGUAAUACGGAGGAUGCGAGCGUUAUCCGGAUUUAUUGGGUUUAAAGGGUGCGUAGGCGGUCCGUUAAGUCAGCGGUAAAAUUGCGGGGCUCAACCCCGUCGAGCCGUUGAAACUGGCAGACUUGAGUUGGCGAGAAGUACGCGGAAUGCGCGGUGUAGCGGUGAAAUGCAUAGAUAUCGCGCAGAACUCCGAUUGCGAAGGCAGCGUACCGGCGCCACACUGACGCUGAGGCACGAAAGCGUGGGGAUCGAACAGGAUUAGAUACCCUGGUAGUCCACGCAGUAAACGAUGAAUGCUGGUUGUCCGGGUCGAAUGAGAUCUGGGCGGCGAAGCGAAAGCGAUAAGCAUUCCACCUGGGGAGUACGCCGGCAACGGUGAAACUCAAAGGAAUUGACGGGGGCCCGCACAAGCGGAGGAACAUGUGGUUUAAUUCGAUGAUACGCGAGGAACCUUACCCGGGCUCAAACGGGAGCGGAAUGGACCAGAGACGGUUCAGCCUACGGGCCGCUUCCGAGGUGCUGCAUGGUUGUCGUCAGCUCGUGCCGUGAGGUGUCGGCUUAAGUGCCAUAACGAGCGCAACCCCCGCCGGCAGUUGCUAACGGGCAAUGCCGAGGACUCUGCCGGGACUGCCGCCGCAAGGCGAGAGGAAGGCGGGGAUGACGUCAAAUCAGCACGGCCCUUACGUCCGGGGCGACACACGUGUUACAAUGGGCGGUACAGCGGGAAGCCAGGCGGCGACGCCGAGCGGAACCCGAAAGCCGUUCUCAGUUCGGAUCGGAGUCUGCAACCCAACUCCGUGAAGCUGGAUUCGCUAGUAAUCGCGCAUCAGCCAUGGCGCGGUGAAUACGUUCCCGGGCCU